AUUGAACGCCGGCGGCAGGCCUAACACAUGCAAGUCGAGCGGAUGAAGGGAGCUUGCUCCUGAAUUCAGCGGCGGACGGGUGAGUAAUGCCUAGGAAUCUGCCUGGUAGUGGGGGAUAACGUCCGGAAACGGGCGCUAAUACCGCAUACGUCCUGAGGGAGAAAGUGGGGGAUCUUCGGACCUCACGCUAUCAGAUGAGCCUAGGUCGGAUUAGCUAGUUGGUGGGGUAAGGGCCUACCAAGGCGACGAUCCGUAACUGGUCUGAGAGGAUGAUCAGUCACACUGGAACUGAGACACGGUCCAGACUCCUACGGGAGGCAGCAGUGGGGAAUAUUGGACAAUGGGCGAAAGCCUGAUCCAGCCAUGCCGCGUGUGUGAAGAAGGUCUUCGGAUUGUAAAGCACUUUAAGUUGGGAGGAAGGGCAGUAAGUUAAUACCUUGCUGUUUUGACGUUACCAACAGAAUAAGCACCGGCUAACUUCGUG
rnacentral:rRNA from 1 species